rnacentral:rRNA from 1 species
UACAGGGGGGGCAAGCGUUGUUCGGAAUUACUGGGCGUAAAGGGCUCGUAGGUGGCCAACUAAGUCAGACGUGAAAUCCCUCAGCUUAACUGGGGAACUGCGUCUGAUACUGGAUGGCUUGAGUUUGGGAGAGGGAUGCGGAAUUCCAGGUAUAGCGGUGAAAUGCGUAGAUAUCUGGAGGAACACCGGUGGCGAAGGCGGCAUCCUGGACCAACACUGACACUGAGGAGCGAAAGCCAGGGGAGCAAACGGG